GGGGAUGAUCGGUUUCGACAGCGGCUGUCGAAGCAGGGGAAGCGUGUCGAGGAAGCGGCCAUGAUCUCGUAAACCACAGGCCGAAAACAAUAAUCGCCAACACCAAGCGCGAUUCCUCCCAGUUCGCCCUCGCUGCCUGAUAAGCGGCUAGCGAACCUCUCAAGGGAGUGUCAGCCCGGGGCUGUUCCCGACCCGGAUCCUGGCAUCAGCUAGGGGACUAAACCUUGAUCCCGGUCACGGGGUGAAAAGGGAAACCACACAGUGACUGAGCCCGUCGGAGACUUGUUCGCGUGAUCUCCGGGGCCGAGAAAAGCACAGCGGACUGCACACGGAGAAGCCCUGAUUCCGCACCGUUGGACGCGGGUUCGAUUCCCGCCAUCUCCACGA
rnacentral:tmRNA from 1 species